rnacentral:rRNA from 1 species
UACGGAGGAUGCAAGCGUUAUCCGGAAUGAUUGGGCGUAAAGCGUCCGCAGGUGGCUAUGUAAGUCUGCUGUUAAAGAGUGAGGCUCAACCUCAUAAGAGCAGUGGAAACUACAUGGCUAGAGUGCGUUCGGGGCAGAGGGAAUUCCUGGUGUAGCGGUGAAAUGCGCAGAUAUCGGGAGGAACACCAGUGGCGAAGGCGGUGCUCUGGGCUGGAACUGACGCUGAUGGACGAAAGCGUGGGUAGCAAACAGG